ACCGCGGUCAGGUUCCCGUGCCGCAAAGAAUCGCGCUCCUCUCCCACGUGAAGGGGAUCUGGACUUACAGAUCACCCCCACGCACCCCAGUUCCCCAACAAGCUGCAUGUACAAGAAAUGUAAGAAGUGCCAUGGCACUGGGAGGUUAGGUAUUUUCACGCCCACUUGGGUGCCUUCUACAGUGAAGCGUGGGGAAGAGGAAAUGGUGGAGUGGCAGCGCCGGGAGCCUUCCCCGCUGCUGGAGCCCACAGGGGCGGGGGCCCAGCCAGGGCACCCAGCUCAGCCCUAGUUUCCCCUCAGGGAGGCACCAGCUCUGCUGCUCCUCAGCUCCAGACACAGAGGGAGCCCAUCACACCCGCCAGCACGCCGGGAAAGACCGCUGCACUAGAACCCACUUGAUGCAACCCUUCAGCAUCUGGGGAUAUCAGCAGGGGGAUCCUUAAGCAAUAAUCUAUACACAAGACCAUCAGUCAGGAGGAGUGAUGGCUGGGGGACUUUCCUGGCACCUGGACAAUUAACCCAGAAGCCAGAGGACAGAGAAGGCACCAGGCCCAUCACCUCUGGGUGGCACAGACCAGCCUCAGAUGCUGACACCAUGGUAUGCCUUGGGUGCCCUCUGCUGGCACAUCACCACACCUGACUUCAAGACUGGAUUUACUCCAUUGAGUCACCCUGUCACCUUCUCUCACACAGAGCUCCCUAAGACUUAGGGGCCACAGCUGAUGCUUCCACCAUCUUUAGCCAUCUUGCAACACUCAGUCAAAGAUGACAUCAACAGAGGAUGACUUCACAGACUCCCAACAGCUGGGUCUCCUAUGAUCCAAAGGUGGCCUGUACAUUUUAUAUCCCCUUUCAAGUUUAUGGUUAGAAAAUGCUGGUGCCCAGGCCGCACCACAAACAGAUCAGAACCCUGUGGGCGAAGCCUCUCCACCACUGUACUGAACAGUCCCCAAGGGAUUCUUAUGUUCAUCCCGAGCUGAGACCCACAGGGAGACAAGCCCAAGUUCUGAUACAGCAGACCUGGAGGGUUCCAAGGAUGAUCCUGAGUCACCAACCCAGAUCCACUACCGGAUUAGAACUUGCAAUGAACUUUAGAGAAGGAAACAGAAAGUCCAGCUAGAACCUUGAAGGGCAGAGAAAGGUCUUCCUCCCCAACACUCUCAAAACAUCCUGCCUGGCUGUACUUGCCCUCCUCGUGAUGAUGUGACAUGACACGAUGCCUAUGUGAGGAGAUGAAGUGAGGGGAAUGACACAGGCAUUGGGACACAUCAUCAGGCUUCUACUGCUCUUCUGAGCGCAAGGCAGGAGAGUCACCUGCCUCCCGACUGGGCUGACACUAUGGAAAGUGAAGCUGUGUAGGUAAGAAGGCACUGGCGUAUCCCCAGAACCAAAUACGAACCAGCCUUUUAGAAAGGCAAUCAGAGAGCUCUCUACAUGUAUUGGCAAGGAAAAAUUUGCAAGAUACAGUAAGGAAAAAUAGAUAAAUACAAAAGAGUGUGCUCGCUGUGCUGCUUUUAGUAUAAAGUAAGUUUAUCCAGACACAUACAUGUAUCUGGAAGAAAAGAUAAAAAAGUGUCUAGCCACGAGACAUGGGCGGCUGGGGUCAGAGGCGAGAGGGAGAGCCCCUCCUCCCCUGCGCACCCAGCUUGGCACUGUCCAUUCAAAUGCCUCUGAGCAGCCUGCACAAGGAAAUGGGGAAAACCCAAGCAAAUGCACGGUGACCUCAUCAAGUGUUCAGAAAUCUAGUUCCCCUGAUUUCCAACUCAACAACUGGACAUUUUCCCAAUCCGUAAGGAUAC